GGGCACUUAGCUCAAUUGGUCAGAGCGCUUCGCUUACACCGAAGAGGUUAGGGGUUCGAGUCCCUUAGUGCCCA
rnacentral:tRNA from 1 species